rnacentral:rRNA from 1 species
ACUGCCCGAUGGAGGGGGAUAACUACUGGAAACGGUAGCUAAUACCGCAUAACGUCGCAAGACCAAAGAGGGGACCUUCGGGCCUCUUGCCAUCGGAUGUGCCCAGAUGGGAUUAGCUAGUAGGUGGGGUAACGGCUCACCUAGGCGACGAUCCCUAGCUGGUCUGAGAGGAUGACCAGCCACACUGGAACUGAGACACGGUCCAG